UACGAGGGGGGCAAGCGUUGUUCGGAAUUAUUGGGCGUAAAGAGCGUGUAGGCGGCCUGGUAAGUCCGCUGUGAAAGUCCAGGGCUCAACCCUGGAAUGCCGGUGGAAACUGUCAGGCUCGAGUCCGGAAGAGGCGAGUGGAAUUCCUGGUGUAGCGGUGAAAUGCGCAGAUAUCAGGAGGAACACCGGUGGCGAAGGCGACAUCCUGGACCGGUAUUGACGCUGAGGCGCGAAAGCCAGGGGAGCAAACGGG
rnacentral:rRNA from 1 species